GAUGAACGCUGGCGGCGUGCCUAACACAUGCAAGUCGAGCGAAAAGACGAUGAGCUUGUUCCUUUGACGUUAGCGGCGGACGGGUGAGUAACACGUGGAUAACCUACUUAUAUGUCUGGGAUAACUUCGGGAAACCGGAGCUAAUACCGGAUAAUAUAUUGAACCGCAGGGUUCAAUAGUGAAUGACGGCUUUGCUGUCUCUUAUAGAUGGUUCCGGGCCGCAUUAGCUAGUUGGUAAGGUAACGGCUUACCAAGGCGACGAUGCGUAGCCGACCUGAGGGGGUGAUCGGCCACACUGGAACUGAGACACGGUCCAGACUCCUACGGGAGGCAGCAGUGGGGAAUCUUCGGCAAUGGGCGGAAGCCUGACGGAGCAACACCGCGUGAGUGAAGAAGGUCUUCGGGUCGUAAAGCUCUGUUAUUGGGGAAGAACAGAUGUGGAAGUAUACCUGGACGUCUUGACGGUACCGAAUCAGAAAGCAACGGCUAACUACGUG
rnacentral:rRNA from 1 species